UUUAAAUCGGGGCAUCCAGCUGCCACCAGAUUCCUUGCAGGGUGAGGGAACUGUGUUUCUCCAGUACAAAUGGGGGCCCUCCUAAUCAUUUGGAUCAGGUCUGUCCUUAGUGACAGCAAUGUCUGUGAGCACUUCUGGGUCUGGCAGCAACAUCUUCAAUAUCUGAUCCCAAAAGAUAACCCCAGCUGGUGUCAUGAUCCUAGCCAGCACACCCACUGAGCCAGCUCACUGCCCCAUUGGAUGCUCUGUGAAAGGAGCUGCUUUUCUG
ensembl:lincRNA Gm11184 predicted gene 11184